AUUAGUGGCGAACGGGUGAGUAACACGUGAGUAACCUGCCCUUAACUCUGGGAUAAGCCUGGGAAACUGGGUCUAAUACCGGAUAGGAGCGCCUACCGCAUGGUGGGUGUUGGAAAGAUUUAUCGGUUUUGGAUGGACUCGCGGCCUAUCAGCUUGUUGGUGAGGUAAUGGCUCACCAAGGCGACGACGGGUAGCCGGCCUGAGAGGGUGACCGGCCACACUGGGACUGAGACACGGCCCAGACUCCUACGGGAGGCAGCAGUGGGGAAUAUUGCACAAUGGGCGCAAGCCUGAUGCAGCGACGCCGCGUGAGGGAUGACGGCCUUCGGGUUGUAAACCUCUUUCAGUAGGGAAGAAGCGAAAGUGACGGUACCUGCAGAAGAAGCACCGGCUAACUACGUGCCAGCAGCCGCGGUAAUACGUAGGGUGCGAGCGUUAUCCGGAAUUAUUGGGCGUAAAGAGCUCGUAGGCGGUUUGUCGCGUCUGUCGUGAAAGUCCGGGGCUUAACCCCGGAUCUGCGGUGGGUACGGGCAGACUAGAGUGCAGUAGGGGAGACUGGAAUUCCUGGUGUAGCGGUGGAAUGCGCAGAUAUCAGGAGGAACACCGAUGGCGAAGGCAGGUCUCUGGGCUGUAACUGACGCUGAGGAGCGAAAGCAUGGGGAGCGAACAGGAUUAGAUACCCUGGUAGUCCAUGCCGUAAACGUUGGGCACUAGGUGUGGGGACCAUUCCACGGUUUCCGCGCCGCAGCUAACGCAUUAAGUGCCCCGCCUGGG
rnacentral:rRNA from 3 species